AUAAUGACUAGUAGUUAUUUUCUAAUAAUCCUAGUAUUUCCAUAACCAAGAUGGAUGUUUCUAAGGGAAUGACUACAUGUGUGCUUGCAGCUGUGUUCAAAACAUAGUACAGCCAAAGACUGUCAUGAGUGUAAGUUACACACCCAAAAUUCAGUUCCAAAAACUGUUGGGGCUGCAUUUUAAGACCUCAUUUUAGUUCCUAGGCCUCUUCAUGCAAAUAAAAAUUCUUGAUUUUGCAGGAUUAGUCAAUGGCAAAACCCAGCGGGAAGAUGAUUUUUUCUCCCACUGAAACUGUGGGUGGAGGUCUGCGUUUGCAUCCUUACUCUGUAACUAUUCUCUGUUCCUGGCCAAAGCAGAAAUGGUUAGGAUUGUGACCCUGAGCCUACUUAAAUAAUCGCUUAAUAAAUGUUCUGGUUUUCUCAUUAUAGAUAUGAAUUUCAGAUCUGAGAUUCAGGUGUCUCCAUAGCUCUUUCCUAGGCUCUACAUGAUUAUAUUAGCUCGUGGCUCUAGUCCUGAAAGAGUGUAAUUUCAUCCUCACAUUUCCAAAGAUUGAUUUCAUUAACAAUAAGGGGUCACAUCACAUUGCUAAAAAAAAAAUAGUAACAUACAUCUGAAUUUCCCACCCAUGUGAGCAGUGGAAAAAUGAACAGGAGUGGGAAGGAGUCAUCACAUCAUAUACUUAACUCAUCUAAAUCUGGAUGCUUAAAUUAGGUUCCUCCACCAAAUGGAAUCAGGACGAGUCAUCUCUUUCACUGUUAGGAAAGCCAAGAGAAAUUAGGUUCCUAAUUUAUUUAUCAAAAUAUUUGAUUGUAUUUGAUUAUGUAUCAAAUACCUUAAAAAGGUGCUCUGAAUAUCUCGUCUUCUCCCCAGCCUCUCAACUUCUUAAGCUAUUAACUUACUGAGCCUGAUGAACUUUCAGAAGUACACCAGAACAACUUCUCUUGAGCUCUAGACCCACGGGACACAACAAAGAAACUUGAAGAAAGUCGAGAUGGAAAAAUUUUCAGAAAAAAAAUUCCAGCGCUAAAGAGGAGGAGCAGCAGAUAUGCAUCACAGCCACAACAGUAGCUACUGCUCUCAGCCCACAUGAACUGUGAGAGCCUAAUGAGCAAAAGUGGCCAUUCACUUCAUAAAUAUUUGGGCCAAAGGACUGAAGAAGGUCGUGUUUUGAAGAACUGACUACAGACAAUUGAUCAUGACGGGGGUAACAAGGUAUUUCUAGGAGGCAAAAGUGUGACUCCAGCAGAGCAAGGUUGGCAGGAGCUGUCAUGGGAAGGGCCACUAAGCCUACGGUCCUCACAAGCGGAUGCCCAGCAUGCCUCGUGGGGCCGUAAGGGCUCCACUGCUGUGACAGCCAUUGGCUUCAGCGGCCUAAUUGUUGCAGGAACCUUUAAUCUGAAUCUAGCUGGAUGAAAGCUGCUACACAAAUAACUAGCAAACUUUGAUAACAGUGUAGUUAUCUUCAAAAAUAGAUCAUCUUGGGAACCAAGGUCAAGAUGUUAUUGUAAGAAUUGGAGCCUUUCCUAAAAGUGCUGAGGAAAACAAGAACACAAACUGAAAAACCUAUUGAUUCUUCCAUUUUACUACUGAUGACUGGCUGCAUCAAACUGAUCUGCUGGGAGCCAUCACAGAUAAAUCCACAGUAAAGGAAACACUCUGUGGACCGGCAGCAGAUACAACAGAAACCUUCCCAGAGGAGAAGAGAGAAGAGGUUGCUCUUCCCCACCACCACAUUCCUGGGCAGCAGCCACAUACUGGAGUGGCAAAUCACCCGCCACUGGUGCUCAGUGGUCAGAGUAAGUUUCCUAUCACUUUUGGAUUCAUGUAGUCUUUGAAGCCCUUCACUCAGGUUAACCCACAGGUCUGUACCUCCAAUCUUUCCUCACAUACACAGUCUUGUGAAAGAGGGAACAAUUUUGCCUUUAUGAGUGUUUUUGACCACAGCUUAACUUAACUGACUGCAGUGGAAAUUCUCUAGAUUUGCACCGCUGUGAACUAAACCAGGCUUGGGGGAUCUGUGUGUGUGGGUUAUAGACUCCUUAAUUGCCUGUGGGCAGCAUUGUCCUCUGACUCAGAAAUAUCUUUGCCUUGGGAAAAAAUAAUAUACCCCCCCCAAAAUUCUUAUCUGUCUCUGCUGACAGACACAAUCUCUUUAAUGUUGCCCUGCAUUUGUCUUAACACAAUUUAUUGGACAAACGGCAAAAAAGGCUGUUAGUCAUUUCCACUGAAAUUUGUGAGUGAUAAACACAUCUGUUAUACUCCUGUACAGUAACUGGGCACAUUUUUGAUUAAAUAGUCCCCUAAUUCAAAAGCAUCUCACCUGCUCUCAAUAUGACAGCAAUAAAAACGUAGCUAUGUGCUUUGUUUCUGGCAUAGUUUCAGCUCUUCCACAUUACUUAAAUCGUGAGCAUAUAUUCCAGUUAGCUUAGGCUUCAGGCUUUAAAAGCUCAAAGUGAGUAAUGAAGGGAAAGCAAUCUGAUUAGCUGGUGGAGCUGACUAAAAGGCACCUUCAUUACGAAGGAGCUUAAAAAAGGAAUAAAACUAUAUAAAAUGGAUUAAAGGUAUAAUAAUAACGAUAGUAUCAAACAGCAUAACAACUGAAAUUAAUAUUUAAUAGAUGGUACAGGCAUGUUCAUGGCUUUAUAUUCUUCUGUUUUAAUGAUCUUAACCACAGCUUGAGGUCCUUUGUCUUGUCUCCUUCUACUGACAUCAGCUGGAAGAGACAGAGAUGAAAACAAGGGUAAUUUCCCCAUGGUCAUUGCUUGGCACUAUUUCUGCUUUGCUCAGCCAUGAACUGAAGUUUAAAGGAUGAAGUGCUGUCAGUCAGACUGAUUCUUCCCUCUAACCUGUCUUACCUGGGUUAACCACUCAGCCAGUCACCAAGGAAACGCGUAGCUCCUUUGCCCAUCUUACAGCCACCCCACAGCCUCAUGUUGAGAACAUCACCAUAAUCUCAUUAGGACAUUGAAUUUGCCAUUGAAGCUUGAAUUCCCCUAACAGGAGGGGAGUGGACUAAUGCAAUUAAACAAAUUAGCGUUUUGAGCCACUGCAUGGUAUCUGUCCAAUGCCAUGAGCAAAGAGUAGCUAGUUUUCUUCCUUUCUUAAAAAAAAAAACACAAACAAACAAACAACAAAACCAAGACUCCAGUCCUCUCUCCACGUUAUGUUCAGGGAAAUAGUGCAGUCCCCUGUCAUCUGUAAACAAAUGGGAAGGUAAUUACUCACUUGACCAAAAACUUGAAUUGUUUCCCUUUAUUUUCCCAAGUGCUCCCAUCCCAGUGGUUCUGAUUAUUUUUAUCAGUGUAAUGUUUAUGCUUCUAAAGGUAAAGUGGAUAAACCCAGAACAUUUUGUUCUUCUCUUAUGGUAUGUAACAGUGGUUGCCAGAUAAGAACAAAACUCCUGUUGAUUUCAAAUCUAUUCUGAUAUGAAGUGCUUCUUAAGUGCUAUGAAUAACUAUUUUAAAAUACACCAGAUUUUCAGGAGAUAAUUCCGGCAUAUUCAGUAAUUCUCUAGAAAGGCAGAUUAUUAAAUGCCUAAGGCAGCGCUUUUCUGCCUUUUGUUGUGGGGUUUUGAGGCUAAUCCAGUUCCCUCCUCCCUCCCUCACUCUGCCAAAUAAACAAAGCAGCAAGAGCGAACUGUAGCGAGAAUCAGGAACCAUGAAUCUUUGAAUAAUAUUCUGGCAUGUGAGUUUCCAAAGGCAACAUAUUUCUCUGGGAGUACUGGGGUGAGAGAGAGGGAGAGAGGGAAGGAAGGGAGCAGUGGUACCCUCCUGAGGAUAAUGCUGCCGUCUCCAUUACAGCAUUUCUUCCUGGGGAGGUAGAAGAUGGAAUGACACGGGUAGGAUCUAGAAGCCUCUUAUGCAUUUUGAUUACCAAAGAGCUUAUGCCGCUGGCUGCUUGCUGCCUUCAUCUUUGAAUGGGAAAGGCAGGAAUAACAAGUGUAUUUUAGUAGAUGUUAUUGUGCUACCACUCAUCUGCUCACAAACAAAUCGCAGUCUGCCACCAGGCACUGGAAUCAGAAGGAGUGAGAACAUGGGUUAUUACUAAAUAAGGGCAUUGGUUAUACACUCAACUUUAUGUAAUACAUGGAUCCUACCAUAAGCUGCUUACAAAAUAGAUAUAUAUUAUGUAGGCAGUAUGCAUAGUCCCAAAGGAUAGCGUAAUCUUAGCAGUUUUCCCUGAAAAUGCAAGGGACUUCAAGACUGAGUCAGUACUGAGAAUAUCUGUCACAAACUUGAAAAUAGAAUGUAGUAUAGAUAAUGCUGCAGUUAUUUGAAAAGCGUCACGAAGCUCAGCAUUUCAGUAGUCACAAACUCCCAAAAUGUCAGAGCUGAGCUGGUACUGAAGAGAAGCUGAAAUGUGCUGAAACAGAAAAUGCAGUACUGAGGCUUACAAACAAAAUGAGCUCUGCACUGUGAUAGCAAUAGCCAUACAGUUUGGAUUAAAGUAUUUUGAUAUUUAUGGUAUCAGAUCAGAUGAGGACAAAUUAAAAAAAAAAAAGAAUUAUGUUUUUAAAUACCUUUUUAGCUCCUGAUACCAUUACAGGAUAGAACCAGGGGUUGAAUUAUUUUCCUAUGUAAGUUCUUGCGUAACAUCACUGUAAAGUGGUCCUGGUUUGCCUAUUUAUUUUUUUCCUUUUAUCGUGUUUGGAUUUAAAUGUAGCCCUAAUCCUGCAUAUCCUCUUUGAAAAGCUUAGAUCCAUAAUGUAUUGUGUAGUAUUCUUUAAAACACUUUGCUCUAUAGUGUGGGGUAGCCUUCAGUUAACAAUAUAGAUUUCAAUUCUUAACCUUACAUUUGAUAGUUUUUAUUGCAUUAUAUUCUUCAUUUAAUACAAUGUAAAAUUUCAAAUAUGCAUACUAAUUGAGACAAAUGAUACCCAGCAAAAAUAUUAGCAUUAUUUAAUAUCCCAUAUCAGAUAAAACAUGCAGUAGCAACACAUAUUUAUGGGCAAAUUCACCAAGAUACCAAAGAACAAAAAGUAAAGCAUAUCAUCUGGGAAUACUGAGUUUACAGCUUAUAUUUUCCUAUGAAUUUUCCCCAAUAGUUUAUGUUUUCCUCUGUUCAGAGGAACAUUACCAAGCCUUUGAGACAAAGACUGAGAAUCUGACCUCUAACUUUGGGGCUGAUCCCUGAGGUUGCAGGACUGUUGUGAUGGUACAAAUAUUAUAUGAAAUGAGGGAAUUCCUAGUCUAUUCCUAAUUUUGCAUCAAACUAGUCAGUACAUAUUCUUGAAAAUUCUUCAAGGGCAAACACCAUUAAUGUGCCAUUUUUGAAAAAAAAAAAAAAAUAAAAAAGAGAUUGAAGCCAUAUUUUUGUAU